rnacentral:rRNA from 1 species
UCGCGGCGAUGGGGGCGGUUGCCGCCCGUGACGUCGCGAGAAGUCCACUGAACCUUAUCAUUUAGAGGAAGGAGAAGUCGUAACAAGGUUUCCGUAGGUGAACCUGCGGAAGGAUCAUUGUCGAGGCCCGAACGGACGAUUGCGAACCCGUAGAGCCCCCGCUGGGAGGGGCAAGGGCGCGGCAUCCGCCGUCGCCUCUGCCGCUGCCUCCGUGGGCGCCCCUACCGCCGUCGCCCCGCACGCCGUGCGGGUCGAGCGGCGGGAACAAUUCCCGGCGCAGUGCGCGCCAAGGAGCAGCCCUGUUCGGAUGGCGUAGCGCGUGGCGAGCACAGUAUCGCGACGAGCGACGCCGUCUUUGUACGUCUAACUUUGCAUGACUCUCGGCAACGGAUAUCUUGGCUCUCGCAUCGAUGAAGAACGUAGCGAAACGCGAUACUUGGUGUGAAUUGCAGAAUCCCGUGAACCAUCGAGUCUUUGAACGCAAGUUGCGCCCGAGGCCGUCUGGCCAAGGGCACGCCUGCCUGGGCGUCACGCCUGCCGACGCUCAUCGCCUCCUGCCCCCUUCCCCCGCCUCGUGCGGUUCGGCGGCCGGCAUUGAUGCGGAGAGUGGCCCCCCGCGCAUCCUUGCGUGGCGGGUCGAAGUGCGGGUCGCCGGUCGGGCUUGACGCGGCGAGCGAUGGACUGACGCGCACGCUGUCGCCGAAGUGACCCGACCAGGUCGACGCACAGAAGGAACCCACGUCGAUGGGCGCCACGCGAGCGCUCCUCGAAACACGACCCCAGGUCAGGCGGGGACACCCGCUGAGUUUAAGCAUAUCAAUAAGCGGAGGAGAAGAAACUUACGAGGAUUCCCUUAGUAACGGCGAGCGA